AUGUACAUUCUUACAACAUAGCGUUAAUUCACCAGAUCCCAUUAGAAAUCCACAGUAAAGCACACCCGGGUUAAAGUAGUACUAGGAUGGGUGACUACCGGGGAAGUUCUAGUAUUUUACAUG
rfam:Picea glauca, whole genome shotgun sequence.